UACGUAGGGGGCUAGCGUUAUCCGGAAUUACUGGGCGUAAAGGGUGCGUAGGUGGUUUAUUAAGUCAGGUGUGAAAACUAUGGGCUCAACCUGUAGAUUGCAUCUGAAACUGGCAUUCUUGAGUAUUGGAGAGGAAAGUGGAAUUCCUAGUGUAGCGGUGAAAUGCGUAGAUAUUAGGAGGAACACCAGUGGCGAAGGCGACUUUCUGGCCAAAAACUGACGCUGAGAUGCGAAAGCGUGGGGAGCAAACAGGAUUAGAUACCCUGGUAGU
rnacentral:rRNA from 1 species